GCUUCGCAUAGGUACUAAGGAAAGCACAGCUUUCAUUUUUAGUAGAGGUGCCUCGGGACGUGAAAAAUGCCAACUGGCCUCAAUGGGGCAAGUGUGUCCACUGGAAACUUAGAAGCAAAAGGAACCCAGAAAGGGAAGGGCAAUGAAAGGUUCUUCUGCUAAAAGAAAUUUGAAGACAACACUGCUCUACAGAAUAGACUCAGCGGAAAUGCUCCACUGUGGCCCUCCUCACGCUGCACUAACUGCUGACCUGGGGGCCCGUGUUCCAGCAGAUGCUUAGUAAGUUAUGCAGAAUGAACCGAGAUGAAGUGGCAGAGGAGCGAACAGGCUUGUAAGCUGGCCCAGAAAUAAUGCUUCCAAACAGUCUAUAAAUACUCCCUGUUUGGGUGCUCAUUCUUUUCACUGAGAUUUGGUUGAAGGAGAAAUGAAGGGCAGAGAGGACUACAGUCAAACGAGUGCACACAAGCCGCAUGGAGCCAGGGGGUUCUUUCACAGACUUCUCCACUGAUAUGGGGGCUGCUUCUUGCUCUGCCCGAGGACAGGCCUCAGCUGGCGUGGAUGGGUGGUCAGAUUAAAAUAGGCCUUGUGAAGGAAGAAGCAGGUCAGUAACACCCCGUUUCCACAAAAGUGGUUUUGCCUGGGCUCAGGUCUUGCUGACCUGUCUGGACAACAA